rnacentral:rRNA from 1 species
GUUGAACGCUGGCGGCAGGCCUAACACAUGCAAGUCGAGCGGAUGAAGGGAGCUUGCUCCUGGAUUCAGCGGCGGACGGGUGAGUAAUGCCUAGGAAUCUGCCUGGUAGUGGGGGAUAACGUCCGGAAACGGGCGCUAAUACCGCAUACGUCCUGAGGGAGAAAGUGGGGGAUCUUCGGACCUCACGCUAUCAGAUGAGCCUAGGUCGGAUUAGCUAGUUGGUGGGGUAAAGGCCUACCAAGGCGACGAUCCGUAACUGGUCUGAGAGGAUGAUCAGUCACACUGGAACUGAGACACGGUCCAGACUCCUACGGGAGGCAGCAGUGGGGAAUAUUGGACAAUGGGCGAAAGCCUGAUCCAGCCAUGCCGCGUGUGUGAAGAAGGUCUUCGGAUUGUAAAGCACUUUAAGUUGGGAGGAAGGGCAGUAAGUUAAUGCCUUGCUGUUUUGACGUUACCAACAGAAUAAGCACCGGCUAACUUCGUG